GAUCAAGAAUAUAUAUACUUUAUGGGGUCAAAAACUAUUUACAAUAUACCCUAUUUACUCUUCGAAUACCGGGAAUAAUUAAUUCAUGGAUUUAUCACUUUUAUUUUUAUCGGAACACUCCCGUUGGUUUCAUCGCUCUAAUUGAAAUACCGCCAGAGUCAUAAAAUGGGCAGCAUAGAAACUAUAGUUUCUUCAUGGGCAGCACUAAAUACAGCUUUAGAAGCUCUGCCACCACCAGGAGUGCGGUCACACCAGAUCCGAAAACACGUUUGCUAGCAAACAGUGCAACACAUGAUGAUAGAGGCAGAGUGUGACCAGAGGUGAAGGAUGCGUUCCUUACGGUUAAACUACUCAGGCAGCUCUGUUAUUUUGUUUACUUUGUGGAAAUUUGUGAAAAGUUAAUAAAACAAGAAUACAAAAUGGUAGCGGAUCUUAUAUUAUCGGAGGAGAAGAACAUUCAACGUAAUAAACUCCGACAACAUUAAGUAAACCCAAACAAGAAGUUUCGUUUUUCUAUAGAUGCGAGUAUUAUAAAUCAUAUACAUACAUAUGUACACAUGUGCAUACAUAUGAAUGGAAGCACAUUUAACAAUACCCUUUGCACAUUACGCAGUUUGAAAAUAUAACUUAAAUGCAAUCAGUAUUCUUUGAGAAUUUGCUUGUCUGAGAAGAACUUCUGAAGCCUUUUUGGAUUGAUGGAGCAGUCCAGAAACAUAAUUAAGAAACCACUUAAACAUUUUUGUUAACAGCCCAGCCGGGUCUAUGUCUUGGCGACGUGAAGAUAAUGGCUUUCGGAAAAAUUAAACAAAUUAAAAAUACAAAUAAAUUCAAUAUAUUCUCAUUAAUCUCUAAUAAUUGUUUCCUCUUUCACCUAUUUGAUGGCCUCUUUCCACCUGGGCGUCUUUUAGCAGGGUGCGUCGUACACUGCACGAGGAAGACUGUGCGAGCAAG
rnacentral:lncRNA from 1 species